CCUACGGGAGGCUGCAGUCGAGAAUCAUUCACAAUGGGGGAAACCCUGAUGGUGCGACGCCGCGUGGGGGAAUGAAGGUCUUCGGAUUGUAAACCCCUGUCAUGUGGGAGCAAAUUAAAAAGAUAGUACCACAAGAGGAAGAGACGGCUAACUCUGUGCCAGCAGCCGCGGUAAUACAGAGGUCUCAAGCGUUGUUCGGAAUCACUGGGCGUAAAGCGUGCGUAGGCUGUUUCGUAAGUCGUGUGUGAAAGGCGCGGGCUCAACCCGCGGACGGCACAUGAUACUGCGAGACUAGAGUAAUGGAGGGGGAACCGGAAUUCUCGGUGUAGCAGUGAAAUGCGUAGAUAUCGAGAGGAACACUCGUGGCGAAGGCGGGUUCCUGGACAUUAACUGACGCUGAGGCACGAAGGCCAGGGGAGCGAAAGAGAUUAGAUACCCCUGUAGUC
rnacentral:rRNA from 1 species